GCAUUGGUGGUAUAGUGGUGGGCAUUGCUGGUAUAGCUGCCUUCCAAGCAGUUUACCUGGGUUCGAUUCCUGGCCAAUGCA
rnacentral:tRNA from 1 species